GAUGAACGCUGGCGGCUUGCCUAAUACAUGCAAGUCGAGCGAACGGACGAGAAGCUUGCUUCUCUGAUGUUAGCGGCGGACGGGUGAGUAACACGUGGAUAACCUACCUAUAAGACUGGGAUAACUUCGGGAAACCGGAGCUAAUACCGGAUAAUAUUUUGAACCGCAUGGUUCAAAAGUGAAAGACGGUCUUGCUGUCACUUAUAGAUGGAUCCGCGCUGCAUUAGCUAGUUGGUAAGGUAACGGCUUACCAAGGCAACGAUGCAUAGCCGACCUGAGAGGGUGAUCGGCCACACUGGAACUGAGACACGGUCCAGACUCCUACGGGAGGCAGCAGUAGGGAAUCUUCCGCAAUGGGCGAAAGCCUGACGGAGCAACGCCGCGUGAGUGAUGAAGGUCUUCGGAUCGUAAAACUCUGUUAUUAGGGAAGAACAUAUGUGUAAGUAACUGUGCACAUCUUGACGGUACCUAAUCAGAAAGCCACGGCUAACUACGUG
rnacentral:rRNA from 1 species